rnacentral:rRNA from 1 species
UACAGAGGGUGCGAGCGUUGUCCGGAAUCACUGGGCGUAAAGGGCGCGUAGGCGGCUUGAUAAGGUUGCGGUGAAAGCCCGGGGCUCAACCCCGGGUCGGCCGUGGCAACUGUCGAGCUGGAGCACUGUAGAGGCAGGUGGAAUUCCGGGUGUAGCGGUGGAAUGCGUAGAGAUCCGGAAGAACACCGGUGGCGAAGGCGGCCUGCUGGGCAGUGCUGACGCUGAGGCGGCGACAGCGUGGGGAGCAAACAGG